GAUCAUGGCUCAGGACGAACGCUGGAGGCGUGCCUAACACAUGCAAGUCGAACGGAACUGUUUUGAGAGAUUUCUUCGGAAUGAAUUUGAUUUAGUUUAGUGGCGGACGGGUGAGUAACGCGUGAGUAACCUGCCUUCAAGAGGGGGAUAACAUUCUGAAAAGAAUGCUAAUACCGCAUGAUAUAUCGGAACCACAUGGUUUUGAUAUCAAAGAUUUUAUCGCUUGAAGAUGGACUCGCG
rnacentral:rRNA from 1 species